rnacentral:rRNA from 1 species
UACGAAGGGGACUAGCGUUGUCCGGAAUUAUUGGGCGUAAAGAGCUCGUAGGCGGUCUGUCGCGUCGGCUGUGAAAACUCGGGGCUCAACUCCGAGCUUGCAGUCGAUACGGGCAGGCUAGAGUUCGGCAGGGGAGACUGGAAUUCCUGGUGUAGCGGUGAAAUGCGCAGAUAUCAGGAGGAACACCGGUGGCGAAGGCGGGUCUCUGGGCCGAUACUGACGCUGAGGAGCGAAAGCGUGGGGAGCGAACAGG